GGUCAGGUGGCCGAGCGGUCCAAGGCGCUGCGUUUAGGCCGCAGUCUCCUCCGGAGGCGUGGGUUCGAAUCCCACUCCUGACAGCCG